UUUUCCCUGCGCUGUUGGUGAUUUGUAGUGUUGUUGAGCCAACUCCCUUAAAAAGGGUGCUACCACUGUUUGUUGAGGGGAGAGCGACCAUCUCCCUGAAGCUGACAUGCGGCGCCCACCUAUUACGAUAGGUUUAACUUGUCCUGCAGACACGGCAGGGUGGGGAAAAA
rnacentral:other from 1 species